UACGUAGGCAGCGAGCGUUGUUCGGAGUUACUGGGCGUAAAGAGUGCGUAGGCGGUUUUCUAAGUUUGGUGUGAAAUCUCCCGGCUUAACUGGGAGGGUGCGCCGAAGACUGGAAGGCUUGAGUAUGGGAGAGGUAAGCGGAAUUCCUGGUGUAGCGGUGAAGUGCGUAGAUAUCAGGAGGAACACCUGCGGUGUAGACGGCUUACUGGACCAUCACUGACGCUGAGGCACGAAAGCGUGGGUAGCAAACAGG
rnacentral:rRNA from 1 species